GAUGAACGCUGGCGGCGUGCCUAAUACAUGCAAGUCGAGCGAACAGACGAGGAGCUUGCUCCUCUGACGUUAGCGGCGGACGGGUGAGUAACACGUGGAGAACCUACCUAUAAGACUUUUAUAACUUCGGGAAACCGUAUCUAAUACCGGAUAACAUAUUGAACAGCAUUGUUCAACAGUGAAAUACGGUCUUUCUGUGACUUAUAGAUUGAUCCGCGCCGCAUUAUCUAGUUGUUAAGGUAACUGCUUAGCAAGGCAACGAUGCGUAGCCGGCCUGAGAGCGUGAUAGGCUACACUGGAACUGAGACACGGCCCAGACUCCUACGGGAGGAAGCAGUCGGGAAUCUUACGCAAUGGGCGAAAGCCUGACGGAGCAAAGCCGCGUGAGUGAAGAAGGUCUUCGGAUCGUAAAACGCUGUUAUUAGGGAAGAACAAAUGUGUAAGUAACUAUGCACGUAUUGACGGUACCUAAUCAGAAAGCCACGGCUAACUCCGUG
rnacentral:rRNA from 1 species